rnacentral:rRNA from 1 species
CCUACGGGUGGCAGCAGUGAGGAAUAUUGGUCAAUGGGCGAAAGGCUGAACCAGCCAAGUCGCGUGAAGGAUGACGGCCCUACGGGUUGUAAACCGCUUUUGCAGGGGAGUAAAGAGCGUUACGCGUCCCGCCUCGCGAGUACCCGGAGAAAAAGCAUCGGCUAACUCCGUGCCAGCAGCCGCGGUAAUACGGAGGGUUCGGGCGUUAUCCGGAUUUAUUGGGUUUAAAGGGAGCGUAGGCCGCAGGGCAAGUGAGCGGUGAAAUGUACGGGCUCAACCCGGGCCCUGCCGUGCGAACUGGGGUGCUUGAGUGGGCGAGAAGCAGGCGGAAUGCGUGGUGUAGCGGUGAAAUGCUUAGAUAUGACGAAGAACUCCGAUUGCGAAGGCAGCGUGCUGGAGCGCAACUGACGCUCAUGCACGAAAGCGCGGGUAUCGAACAGGAUUAGAUACCCCUGUAGUC